rnacentral:rRNA from 1 species
AGUGAACGCUGGCGGUAGGCCUAACACAUGCAAGUCGAACGGCAGCACAGGAGAGCUUGCUCUCUGGGUGGCGAGUGGCGGACGGGUGAGGAAUACAUCGGAAUCUACUCUGUCGUGGGGGAUAACGUAGGGAAACUUACGCUAAUACCGCAUACGACCUACGGGUGAAAGCAGGGGAUCUUCGGACCUUGCGCGAUUGAAUGAGCCGAUGUCGGAUUAGCUAGUUGGCGGGGUAAAGGCCCACCAAGGCGACGAUCCGUAGCUGGUCUGAGAGGAUGAUCAGCCACACUGGAACUGAGACACGGUCCAGACUCCUACGGGAGGCAGCAGUGGGGAAUAUUGGACAAUGGGCGCAAGCCUGAUCCAGCCAUACCGCGUGGGUGAAGAAGGCCUUCGGGUUGUAAAGCCCUUUUGUUGGGAAAGAAAUCCAGCUGGCUAAUACCCGGUUGGGAUGACGGUACCCAAAGAAUAAGCACCGGCUAACUUCGUGCCAGCCGCCGCCGCAG